GAGCCCCGUCGUGCCCGG
rnacentral:snRNA from 1 species